UACCAAUAUUGCCUUAGUUGCUGCAGGGUUGUUAGGUCUCUGGUCAUUGUCCCUUUUGAACUGAAUCAUAGAGAGAUUGAAGCAUUGCAUGCAUUCAUUGUUCCAAUACUUGUUGAGACAAUUGAUGAAGCAUAUCCAGUCGUACAUCUUUGAUGAUAAGUUAUCAAUUUCGAGACAUGUUGUGUAUAUUGUUCCUUUAAAGCCCAUGGUGUUGUUUCUUACCUGAUAAUGGUGGUUCAAACCUUAGUUCCGACAGUGAAUCUUUAGUCUUCUUUUAGCAAAAGAAUGGCGUUCUUCUUUUAGCAAAAGAAUGGCGUUGAAAAAUAUAUGCCCGAGGAGUUUGAAAAGGUAUCAUUUUUUUUUCUGUAAACACAAUGGCACAGGCCACAGGAACAAGCGUAGCUUCGAAUGCCUAUGGCAGGUUCAGGCCACUGACGACUUAUGUACUCAUGGCUGGAUUCUCAGGAAGGAUGCCUACACUUUAGUCUCUCCUCUGCUGCCACACCUGAAGAUCAUGAAAAGUGCAUUGACCCUUGCAGCCAUCUUAGAUUUGUUGCUUCCCCCCUACAACUUUGGGGAGUGGCAAUCUAGGAGAUACUCUCUGUGGCGGACAACAGUUGAUGUCACCUCCCAAGUGAUGCAUUCAACCUCCCGUUGUUCACGAUUACUUGAUUAUUCUGUCCAGCUUUUGACCUGUGUAAAAAAUCACAUAAGCUGUGUGUUGAUUAAUUCAGGCUAAGAUCCAGCCUUGUUUGUAAAAUAAAUCUGUUUACGCAUCAACAUUAUUUGUAGGCUGUAGCAACUGUUGUUGUUGUAAAACGAUUGCCCCACUUCACCGAUAAUGGAGCAACUUGGCCUCA